rfam:Aedes albopictus isolate Foshan contig124345, whole genome shotgun sequence.
UGUUCUGUGGCUUAGUCGGGUAAAGCGCCGGUCUGGCAAAUACGGAGUCGUGGGUUCGAAUCUCACCAGAAUGC